UGGGGAAUAUUGCACAAUGGGGGAAACCCUGAUGCAGCGACGCCGCGUGAGCGAUGAAGGCUUUCGAGUCGUAAAGCUCUGUCCUAUGGGAAGAUAAUGACGGUACCAUAGAAGAAAGCCCCGGCUAAUUACGUGCCAGCAGCCGCGGUAAUACGUAAGGGGCGAGCGUUGUCCGGAAUUAUUGGGCGUAAAGAGUGCGUAGGCGGCAAAUUAAGUCAGAUGUGAAAACUAAGGGCUCAACCCAUAGAUUGCAUCUGAAACUGAUAUGCUUGAGUCAAGGAGAGGAAAGUAGAAUUACUAGUGUAGCGGUGGAAUGCAUAGAUAUUAAGAGGAAUACCGGUGGCGAAGGCGACUUUCUGGACUUGAACUGACGCUGAGGCACGAAAGCGUGGGGAGCAAACAGG
rnacentral:rRNA from 1 species